GGAUGAACGCUGGCGGCGUGCCCAAUACAUGCAAGUCGAGCGAACGGACGAGAAGCUUGCUUCUCUGAUGUUAGCGGCGGACGGGUGAGUAACACGUGGAUAACCUACCUAUAAGACUGGGAUAACUUCGGGAAACCGGAGCUAAUACCGGAUGAUAUUUUGAACCGCAUGGUUCAAAAGUGAAAGACGGUCUUGCUGUCACUUAUAGAUGGAUCCGCGCUGCAUUAGCUAGUUGGUAAGGUAACGGCUUACCAAGGCAACGAUGCAUAGCCGACCUGAGAGGGUGAUCGGCCACACUGGAACUGAGACACGGUCCAGACUCCUACGGGAGGCAGCAGUAGGGAAUCUUCCGCAAUGGGCGAAAGCCUGACGGAGCAACGCCGCGUGAGUGAUGAAGGUCUUCGGAUCGUAAAACUCUGUUAUUAGGGAAGAACAUAUGUGUAAGUAACUGUGCACAUCUUGACGGUACCUAAUCAGAAAGCCACGGCUAACUACGUG
rnacentral:rRNA from 1 species